UGAAAGGCAUUGAAGGGGAAGAAAGGCAGUUAUAUUGCUAAGCGAUCCGGGGAUGGUGCAAGCCCGGUCAAGAAGGCUGUUCUAGGCCGCCCCUGAGCUGCAGGCUGAAACCCGAUAGAAAAAUGGGGGAAUAAGCUGUUGCCGGAUCCCCGCCGUUAUUUGGGGGCUUAAGAGGUUCGUACAUAUAUGUAUGAACAAUUAGGGUGGUACCGCGAGAAAAAGCUCUCGUCCCUUUA
rnacentral:ncRNA from 1 species